rnacentral:lncRNA from 1 species
GCUGCGCCUGCCCAAAAGAAGGUGUCGGCGCCGUUACCGUCGUAGCUGAACGACUUCAAGAGCAAGGUGUAUUCGUCGACGGCGUAAACAUCACCGGAAACUUGGUGAUGAUAGGCGUUCAACUUUCCGAGAGACCGAUCGAACCGGAUGUGAAGACAAACAUUCAAGGAAUGUUUCUGACUACAUCGAAGUUCUAUAGAACAGUUCACUGUCAGCUGACGAUGAAUUAGCCACCACACACAAUAUGCGAAGUUUCCGAAACAGAUGAAACUUUCUUCAAGAAACUAGCUCUAUCAACUGGACCAUUGAGAAAUAUAUUAUUAUACAAGAAAUUCAGUUCAUGUGACGAAUUCCACGAUUCACAUUAACUCCAUUUCGUUAAAUACAACCACCUUGAUGAUAGUUUUAUGUGUAAAUAAACUAUAGAAUAAAUAUGUGAACCAUGCUGCUUUAAUGUAUGCGAAUUAGUUUUUUAAUUUUGAUUUCUAUUUUAUAAGAGUCGAAUGAUCAUUGUAGUUAUGGAUGUGUUUGUGGCCAAGUAUAAGUAUGAUUUCUGUAUGGGUAUAACUGCAUUAAGCACCUUUGCUUUCG